CCUUCCCUACUGUGCUCGUGUCAGGGCAAUUUAUUUAAUCCAACACCGAAUGAAAGGGAGCCUUAUGCUCUUUCAGCAGACUGCAGACCUCCCGGUUUUCCGGACGAAGGGAGCGAGACGCUGCAAGGCGGGCACCCACCUGUCUGUAUAGAUGGGUUUUAUCAUUUGCGCGACGGCAUGGCGGGGAAACA
rnacentral:other from 1 species